ACACACGCUAUCAGUCUGUCGGUGGCACGUUCGCCCUGGGGAGACACUCAUGCAGUACAGUCUCGCAUCCUAGUUACAACUCUGAAACAGGCGCAGAAAGCGAACGCUGAAGACGCCAGUCGACAUCGGAAUGAGGCCUGUAUUCUUUCUGAUUGUUGUGGCUGUUCUCGCACUCCUGCUGUCAGAGGUAGUAGCCAAAGAAUCUGAUGAUGCAUAUGAAGACGAGGGUAAUCCAGUUGCCAAGGCGACGAACUUCAUAUGGGAAAUAAUAGAGGCUUUUGUUGAGUUCUGGAGAAUGUUUCUAGAUCGCCAGUGAUGGACCAACGAAAGCUUUCGCAAACCUCCACGCUCCAUAGUUCUGGUCUUUUUCGAGAUAAAGGGACCAUAUAGUUCCACAGUAAAAGCCACAAUACACAAAAUGUUAAUAGUCUGUAAUAUGAAUAUAUACAAUAAAUGGCAAGACUUGUCUUUAGACUGAUGAUACGAGGUUAAAUAAUAUUGUAGAUGAUGUUGAUGUUUGUAUCUGUUAGAGUAACUUUUUUAUGUGCAGUUUGUGAUUCACAUAGAACUUAAUACUGAAAUAUGCCACAGCAGUCAAUGCAACAUUCAUUCCCUCUUCCUACUCAAUGACUGCAACUCCAGAAUUUUCAUUAGUUUCAUUUGACUGAUAUUUCAUGUGCAUUUAAAAUCAAUAAGCCAUAAGAAAACGUUAGUUAUUUUGUCUAUGUCAGCUUACAUGACUCUCAAGUAUGUUUUGAAUUGUUUAAAGCUAAUGUAAACGUUAGGAAACAAGGCAAAUAAAUGAAUGAACAGCAAAACAAA